GGUCAACCAUCUGUGUCAAACUGAGUUCUAGUUGUCUCACAUCUCUGAAUGAGAAGUUUUUUUUUUCUUUUUUUUUUUUUUGGAGCUGGGGACCGAACCCAGGGCCUUGCGCUCGGUAGACAAGUGCUCUACCACUGAGCUAAAUCCCCAACUCUUUCUGAAUGAGAAUUUUUUUUUUUCUUUUCUUUUUUUCGGAGCUGGGGACCGAACCCAGGGCCUUGCGCUUCCUAGGCAAGCGCUCUACCACUGAGCUAAAUCCCCAGCCCCCUGAAUGAGAAUUUUAACUGUGACAAACUUUAAAGAGUAAAAGAACAUUGAAUCAUUAGAGAUGAGAGUCUAAUGACAGCAGCUGCUGCUCCUCCAGGGGACGACCCUGCAUGGCAGCUGCCUGAAGAGAAAUAUACAAGUGCUUUGGCUCACCACCAUCUGCAACUCCAGUUCAAGGGAUCCACCUCCUCUUUUGGUCUCCACAGGCACACACACCUGAUGCACGUACAUCCAUGCAUCUAACGUUAUUCUAUACCAGUCCCUUAGCUCGCAUUUGCCUCAGUAUUGGCGAUAAGAUGAUGCUGACUAAGAAAACUGGUGAAGUAAUCAUCAACCAAGAGCUAAUGUCUGUCUCGUCCUCAGAGUUGAAGGUGGUUCUGGAACAUGAAAACUGAAGCACAGUAAAGUGUGGAUUUGGCAGAUGUUGACUACAGGUGGUUUUUGACCUCUGUGGGUUUGCAUUUAAGUUGAAAAUACCCUAAAGGAGCAGAACUGAGGGAGAGAGACACAGAGAGAACACACACACAUAUGGAGUUUAUUAGAGUGAGUAACCUACAGGCUGUGAUCCAGCUAGCCCAGCCAGGGAUGUCUGCCAAUGGAUGUCCAAGAGUCCAGUAGUUGUUCAGUCCAUGAGGCUGGGUGCCUUGGCUGGUCUUUAGGAUAGGCUAAUGCCAGUGAAGGAAUGGACUGGAUGUGUAGACUACCAGUAGAAGGUGUGGUCCAGAUUAAAGGUGGAUCUUCACACCUCAAAUGAUCUAAUUAAGAAAAAAUCCCUCAGGGGUGUAGCCAGCCAUUGGACUUUAGUUAGCUCCAGAUGAAGUUAAGCUGACAACCAAGAAUAGCCAGCACAGCAGUGAACAAUUGUUUACCUUUCAGAAUAGCUAGCAGAGGGCAUUUUCCGUGUUCCCAGCACAAGUGCCAAUAAUCACCCAUUGUCUCUCAUGCUGAAGUGUCACGUUGUGCAUCAUUUACAGGCAAACGUGUGUGUUAGUAAGUAGGCAUUUCUGAAAAUAGGAAUAAUAUUGGCCAAAACUUUAAUAUGUGAUUUUUAUGUCUAAGAACAAGGUAACAAAUGAGAAAAAUAAUUCAAGGUUUUGGCUUAAAAAGUGCUAAAUAAGAGUCGGGGUGGGGGUGGGGGCAGCAGCGGCAAAAAGAGAGAGAGAGAGAGA